ACCUCAGCCUCCCAAAAUGCUGGGAUUACAGGCAUAAGCCACUGCGCCCAGCCUUGUUCCAUAAAUGUUUUAAAGAAGGACAUGCUCCCUGAAAUACAGCCCUUGGGCCAUUCAGUCUCUAACUCUGUCUCCGACAGAGACACUCAAGAGUGAGCUGGGAGAAGGCCUGGCCAUCUGACAUCACCUAGGAGGCUGAGGUCUGACCCACUCCUCCAGGCCCUAAGAAGUCUCGCAGAGAACCCAGCACUCAGCUACACUUAAGGCUUCCACAGCACGUUGUUACAGCAUCACCUCCAGCUCCCUACGGGCAGCCCACACACCUGGCCAAGGGACACUGGAGCAUGCACUCCCUGCACAGUCCUCUCAGCCACUCUGGCCCUUUGCUCAUGUUCUCCUCUUACCCCAGAACAACCUCCCUAGACUUCUCCAAGCUGUCCCUCAAAACCCAGAUUGAUCAUUUAAGAAUCUCCGUAGCAGAUCUUUUGUACUUGGCAUAUUGAACUCUGACCACAUGCUGGGCAGUUUGCUGGAUGACAGGAGUACCAAGAGGAUGAAAACACACGCCUGCUCUCAGGUCACUCAGACUAUUCGGGGAGGUGAGCAGAGGAACAAAUGGCUGCAACUCGCUGCACAGUCAGACUGGCAGGGGUGAGUCUCAGCUCCACGACACACUAGCCAGGUGACUUGAAGCAAGUCGCUUAACUUAAAAUGUCUGUUUCCUCUUCUAUAAUAUGAGGACAAGUGUGGUAUUGAUUUCAUCAGGCUAUUGUCACAGUUGUAUGAAUUAAUAUAAUUAAAGACAACAUUUACUGUACUCAAAAAUUACUGGAGGAAGAGAAAUGAAGGUAAUGCACAAGGUAUAUUACUUGGUUUUGUACCAAGUUCUUAUCAGAUUGCUUUCACUAGAUUGGUGCACUGUGCACAUGGCAGGCCCUCAAGAAAUGUUUGUUACCCUUCCUUGAACAUGCUCUACACUUCACCCAGCUUUUCUGUUCUCGUCAUCUCUUCAACACUGUUUGUAUAAAAAUUAUAUAUUCCUCAAGGAUGAGAUCAGAUGCCACCUCCCAUAAUUAGGUUUACAUGCUUCAUGAUUCCCAGACGAACAGCUUCCCUGUCCUGUUUUUGGAUCUCUCAGGCAUCUAAAAAGAGGUCUUCACCACCUUUAGUGAUACCCAUCCAUAUAGGUAUACUAUAUGCCCCUAUCAGACCACAGCUCCUUAAAGACAAAGACUGAGACUCAUGCUUUGUUCUUUGGGGCCAAGACUCUAGUGACAGAACAAUUAAAAAGCAGUGCUAUUUCUGUAGGGGAGCACUCCAAAACUCCGUUCCAAAACCUCUUUCUCAUAAGCGCGUGAGCCAGAAUGGCUUUCCAGAACCUCAUUUUUAUCAAAAAUAGAAGCCAAUCUGACCAUGCACACUUUAUAACACAGUGAAAUGGAACAUCCCAAACUUUUAUCAACACGCAUUUUCUAUUCCCUCUAUAUAAUAAAGGGUCCCAAUGUUCAUCUAACAUUUUUCUGAAAUCAGUAUGUAGCACUCUCCACUUCUGAAUCUGAUGGGGCACCAAUCAGUUUCACAGUCAUCACUGGAGAGACUCUGUGUCAGAUUUUGUCUCCAAUUGUAACACAGGAUCACAUGGUCACUCUACUGAGCUAUUCCCACCCACGCUGUUGGUUCUGGGGAUGAUGAAGGGGAAAAAAAUGGUUCUAGCACCUGGAUGCAGACCGUUGCAUGUUCGACAUCCUUUUCUUGUGCUCCAUAUGAAAUAUAUCCCAGAUCCUUCAUGGGCAACCCUCCACUGUCCAGUUUCAUAGGAGCACAGAAAACUAGUCCAUUCUCAAGUAGGUAGUACUUUCUGUUCCAUUUCAUGAACAAAAUAGAGAUGCAGCAAUAAAUUACAUGAUUUGAGCCCUCAUUAGUAGACAGUAAAUGUCAUAUUUUAUUAAAAAGCUAAUAAUCCAUUCAAUUUUUUAAAUUAGGCAAUGACUGUAAUAUAAUAAAUUUGAAUAAUUAAGCCUAAUAUUAAUGGAGCAAAAACAAGAGGGAAGAAAGUUCUAAAAUCUUUAUUUUUCGCUCCACAUAAAACAUGUUGAUAAUGAUCCCACGGGUGAAAGAAGUUUCUAUGUGCAUACCAGUGGGGUACUUAUUUGUCAAAGCAAGAACUCACACAUAUGCUUAGACAGCUGGAAAUCUCUAGGGAAGUACAGAGACCUCUCCUAACUCAGCCCUCACUAUUGACUCCUAGCUCUAUUUUUACCUGAUCUGUUUUUAUUGCUGGACUCCACUCUCUUUCCAUUACAUACAGCCUAAGAAUUUUCUACUCCAGUUAGAGAGCUCUGACUAAGACGCAAGUUCACAACCAGGAUGGUUGGUCUGUACAUGCUAUUUUCUCCCUGCUCAAUAAAAGGAGAGCAUCCUUGUGGUAGAAAUAGCUUGGUAUCUACAGCCAUACCACGCUGGACACACCUGAUCUUGUCUGAUCUUGGGAGCUAAGCAGGGUCGGGCCCGGUUAAUACUUGGAUGGAAGAAAUAACUUUGCGCAACAGUUCUAAACAAAGCACAGUCUGAACUUAUUCUUCCUGCCACACAGCCUUCCCACCACGUGAGGCCUUAACAUCAUCUCUGCUUGGAAACUCCACACCAAGGUUGCACCAUCAUGCCCUGAAGAAGGCAAGAAGCCUUUCCUUGGGCCACUGAGUACAGGCUUAUGUAAACAGGCAGUAUAACUCAGUAGGCAGAGAUGAAACAUUUGCACUUCUCUCCAAGCAUUUUAAAUGAGAAAGCAAAACUCAUUAAACAAGCUAAACACUAUUCUACAUUCUUAAGUGUCCAAACAAACUUUUCCCCAGUAGCCUGCACUUCUAUGGAUUUUGCGAUAAACCAAGGGGAAGGGAAGAGGAGACUUUCCUCCUAAGCUCAGAGAGAUCAAAGAGAACAAAGCUAGAGAGUGUGAGGGAUUCUGCUUGGUGAGCGUUUCUCAGCAGAGUGGACUUUCUGUGUCUGGGCUGCAGGCCCCUGAGUGUCCGGUGCUCUGAGGACACCUUCACCGGAAUCUGUAGAAGGUACACAUCAGAUCUGCUCCCAGUAAUAAUGCCUUGCUUUGCAGAGGCUGUUUUGCUUUCCCAGGCGCUUUCAUAUCUUGUAUUGAUCAACAAGCAAACACUUACUGAGCGCCUAUCAGAUGCAGGGCCCCAGGUGGAGAUCAUCUCACCGACAGAUAUCUCAUGGCCCCACUCUUCAGACAUAUGUGCCACUCUGAAAAGAAAAUAAGGCCCAGAUCUGCCUUCAAGAUGUUUAUAGUUUAUUUGGAGACACAAGCAAAGAGUCCCGUAGAAAGAGAAAUAAUACUGCAAAGCACUCUAUUUUAAGUUAGCCUUCCUUAAACUUUGAUCAUAAUCACAACCACAUUAGGAGCUUAUUAAAAAUCAAAGGGGCCUGGAUCACAUCUUUGGAGAAUCUAAUUCCAUGGGAAGGAAGCCUGGGUCCCUGUAUUUUUAACAAGCAGCCACAAAGAUCAAAAAUUUAAAACAUAAGGCAGUGCAUACGUGGCAAAUGAGACAGUCACUCAUGCUGGCCAAGGUCAAAGGACUCCAGCAAGGUCAGACAUAAAAGAGACCUGCAAGGGCAGACAGGAGGCUGAGAGCAGAAAGGCAGAAAGGAGAAAGGCAGGGAGUUGGCAGGGAGAGGGGGAUAGGGUCCUAAGAAAAAGUGCAAUACUCAUGUAGGGGGAAAGAAUGCAGAAAAUUCUGAAUGUAGGAGAAGGCUGCCCUAGAGGAUUGAGAGAUCAAGACAGACAGGUAGGUCUGGAGUCUGGGGCCAUGGGACUGGAGUCUGGGCCCUUAUAUUUUAUCAUUAUCAAAGUAAGGAGGAUCAUGAAUGACAGGUGUUUACUUUAGCCUGGAGGCAAAGGGUGCCUCAGGAAUGGCAGGGCCACGAGAGCAGAGAAUUUCAGACACAGAAGUCCGGUGCUGGGUUGAAACCAUCAGGAAGACCAGAAGCUGGGCCCAAAGUUCUAGUAAGAUAGUUUAAUAUCCUGUUCUACCCUCACCGCAGAUCAAUGAACUGAGCAAGAUAGAUAAUAUUAUCUUCUUUCUGUAGAGAGAAAACUGGGGCACAAAGUGGCCACACAGCAAGAGGAAAGCUGGGGAAGCCAGAACAGCCACGUGGCUGCACUCAUCUUUGACAAAUCAAUCCACUGCAUUUCAAGCCUAUUCAACAUACAUUUAUAGAGUGCCUACUACCAGCAAGAAACAAGCAGCAGCAAGAUUAAUGGAGUGCCGUUCCUGCCCUCAGGGAGCUCACCUCCCAGUGGAGGAGCUGGCAAACACUUUCUGUAAAGAACCGGAUAGUGAAUACUUCAGACUGUGCAGGCCAGUCUCUGUAGCAAAUGCUCACCUCUGACAUUAUAGCAAAAAAGUGGCCAUGCACAAUACAUGAACAAAUGAGUAUAUCUGUGUUCCAAUAAAACUUUAUUUACAAAACAGGCAGCGGGCCGGAUUCGACCUGUAAUGUGCCAAUCCCUGAUCUAGUGGGUAAAACAAACCCCUGCAUGGCUACUUAUAAAACAAGAGAGGUGUGUUAUAAAUAAAACGACUUUACAGCCCAAAGGAAAGAUAGAGUAAUUUAGUCUGGCCAUGGAUGACUGGAGAGGUAGCACUGGAGUGGGACAAGUCACUUAGUUUUCUAGGUCUCGGUUAAAACGAUGGGGCUGAAUCAGAAGCACAUGGACGGCCCUUCUUGUUCCAGCAUUCUCUGACUUGGAUGGUAGUGCUGCUUUCCUGCCCAGUCUUCCAACUGCACAAACAACGUGGCCUCUCCCAAGCUUCCUGGGCCUCUCCUCACCUCUACCAUCAAGUUUUGAAUGUUACUUAAGGAAUAAAAAUUCCUCGAUGAUCCUGGAAGGCUAAAUACACACACACGCACGCACGCACGCACAUGCACACACACACGCACAAAGUGUGUGUACGUCCUACCACUGCCAGAUGCUAAGUCUAAAUUUAUUUACAUUUCUAAAGGCUUUCUCCCUCCUUCCCAGAACCUCUCCCUCCUGAAAAAGGUCCUGCUGCUUCUAUCCUAGACACUUUAGCAAGACUCAAAUGUUCUUCCUGACCAAAUGCCCACCUCAAGAAGAACCCGGAGCCAGGAAGAAACCAAGGGUGGCCACACACCUCAUCUGUCCUGCUGUGCUGGUGCCAGGCAAGAAAACAGAAAUAGAGCCAUGGAGCCCAACAGCAACAUCUCACAUGGUGCCAGCAGGCAGUGAGCAAGGCCCAGGCAGAUAAACACAUUAAGGCAGGCUGUGCAGUGCAGGACACGUCCAGGCCUCAGUGACUUCAUCCCAGCCAGCCAAGGUCAACUCUAGUCUAAGGUUUAGUCAGCCUCCUCUUCUGUGGGCUCAGACUUCCCUGGUCAAGAUCACUCAUAUACCAAGAGGAUUGGACAAGGCCACGAGUGAGGCCAGGUGCCAGCAGGGCGAAGGCAGGCAAAAGGCACCACAGAUCUCAUGUGGUGGCAGCAAGCCAGCUGUGUAUGGAUUCAAGCCUCAGACCCACCUGUGAAAAUCCUACCCUACUCAAGCCUGACCACCUCCUCCAGGAAGCCCUCCUGGCUCUUGCUAAUUAGCAGCAACUUGUGUGUUCUCUGAACAUCUAAAGCAAUGCUUCCUAACAUAGGGUUAUGGGAUCAGCAUCAUCAAUCAGCAUCACCUGGGAAGUUGCUGGAACUGUUGUUGGAAGUUCUCAGGCCCCACCCAGGCCAAGCAACUUAGAAACUCUGAGGGUGGGACCCAGCAAUUGGUGUUUUAACGAUGUCCUCCUAGUGAUUCUAAACCAGGCUGUGGUUUGGGCGCCACUAAUACAAAGUCUAGAUUCUAAACCACUAACUGGACACCUGUGUUUUACAUGCAAUCCCUGUGCUCCUGGCUUCCCUGGGAAUGUGGUUGCAUUUCAGAGCCUGGAUCUCACAUGCCCAUAAUCCCCCACCUUGCCCAGCCCAGGAUGCCACAGCAAGUACUUCCUCGGCUAACACCUGUGGAAUUUAAUUAGCUUGAGUUCAGAUACCACCAUCAGGUUACAAAAUCAUGGAACCUGAAUGCUGAAAGAGGCUUUAGUGCCCAACCAGCCCAACUACCCAUCAAGGCUCUGCCAGGACCCAACUUCUCCGUGUUUCUCUCAGGUCAGGUCAGAUGCUCCGCAAAUGCCUGGGAGUUCAUAGUCUCAUUCCUUCACCCACAAAAUAUUGACUGAGCAUGGGUGCCAGGCACACACAGAUGUUCCUGCAUAUAAGUGAACCAGCAACGAGGAUCCUUGCUUGGAGGAAGCAGAUAUUCCAGUGGCAGGAGAGACCCAAUAAAUAGCAAUAAAUAAAUAAAACAAAAAACCCAUAUGCAUUAACCAUUAGAAAACAUCGGACACACCAAAAUAUAGGGACUUCCUAUGAAAAUAACUAAACAGCACUCUUCACCAAUGUCAAAGUCAUGAAAGAUAAGGAAAGAUGAGUCACAAAUUAGAGCACACUAAGGAGACAUGGUGGGUACAUGAAAUGUGGGACCCUGGACUGGAUCCUGGAAAAGACAAACAGCAUCAGCGGGAAAAGUGAUGACAUUUGAGGAAGGCUUACAGUUUGACAUGCAGUUUUAGACCAACAUGAAACUUGUUCUCUUCUAUAGUGAUAUAAGAUGUGAACAAUUAUGGGAAGCAGGCUAAAAGGUAGACAGGAAUUCUCUGUACUAAUUUGCAAAUUUUGUGUAUAAUAUUUUGACGGCAAAUCCAGUUGGGAACGAUGGUCCAAAUAAGAGGUGAGGUGCAUUUGGCAUCCUUAAAUAGAGGGGUGACAUGUGGGCAAGAUUACAUUUGGGCAAGACCCAAAGGCAGGAAAGGGGCCAACCAGUGGCACUGUGAAUGACAUGGGACCAAACUCAGUCUUGCCAGGAUGUUUACCUGCUUAUGCUUGUUCUUCUAUCCAGAUGAAUUCUGACCACGCUUUGAACACUUAUGACAAUGCUGGAGGCCCCUCAGUCUUCUCUUUGGAGGAGGUCUCACAGUCCUGCAGCUGUGCCCACUGAGUGUGCCCUGGCAGCCUGAGCCCCUGGAGUGGACAGUGAGAGACAGCACACAAAGGCAGUGGGGUCUGAUAAAGACCAAGGUUGAGACCAGAAGCACCUCCACCUUCUUUGUUCUGAAAUUGCCCUGGUCUCCUUUUCUUGACAGCAAACCACUUGAGUUCCUACUUCCUCCUGUCUUUGACCCGGUGUCCAAGCUUCUUAGCAUGUGAGCUUCUCCCCUAAGCACUGUCCACAUGCGCCCAGAACCUUGAGCAUUGGCGCUCAGAGCGGGGUCGACGCAAGUAAGCAGACAUGAGUCAGGCUGAGACUCCACCUAAUGACUAAGGAUCAACGUCCCACCCGAUGUUCCCAUGUCUAGCCCUUCAGAAACAACAGGGAACCAUAAUCCAAAGCAAAACAACCCACUCCCUAGGAAUGACAGCCCACAGUCCUGAGUUCUAACGACCUCAAAUAAGACUCUCCCUUCCAGGUGCCAGGUCACCAUCUAUAAAGUGAUACAGUUGGAUUAGUUAAUCCCCAAGAUGUUUUCCAGUUCUAACACUGAAUAAUCAGUAAUGUAUCAAAUGAAAUCAUGCAAGGUAAUUGCAGCUGUGAAGUACAAUGUGAGGUAGUAAUGGUAGCAGUGAUGAGAUCUAUGGGCUCCUCCCCCAACUGAAUCACCAGAAUUGCAAAUGGUGAUUGUUACUAUUAAUAUAAUAAUGUCUUAAAUUGCAGAGUACUUUUCCAUUUACAAAGCAUUUUUAUACACAUUAUCUUGUGUAAUCCUCAUAAGAACCCAGUGAGAGUGGUAGGAAAAAUGUUAUUUCUUUUGCAUAGAUGAGGAAACAAAGUUCAGUGGCUGUUCAAUUAGGAGUGACAGUACUCAGCCCGGAGCACAGGACUCAAUGCCUUAUCUUCUUUCUGCUGCUUAGUGCUGUCUUUGCUACUCCAACAACCUGUGCAACCAUCUGUGAUUUUGUGUCUCUAGGUUUUGACCAGGUUAGUUCAAGGCAUCUGCAUGAUAAGGAAACCCAGGCAUUCCCCUCGAGGGGAAAGCAUCGAAAGUGUGCCCAGAGCUGCCUUGGCUCGGUCCAUCCAUUGGGCUCCUGGGAGCACAGUCCUUUCCAGGAGGGGAGGUGGCAGCAUUCUCCAUUUGUCUCCUUGCAGCUCAAAAUAGAACAGAUGAGGUAUCACAGCUGAUCUCACUGCAACAUCAGAUGUUUUAAAAUAAUUAAAUAAAGAGAAAUGGAAAUGUGAAGAAAAAAGCCCCAAUUUUUCAAUGCUAGUGUCCCAUGGACGUGAUAAGAAAGGGACAAUGAUCAAAGUCAAGGUGAGGGGGCAGCUCCCACAGAAGUGCCAGGUUUAUAGCCGUUCUGUCCCCGCUGUCCAAGUCUUCCUACCAGUAGCAAUACUGUCACCCCUCACCAUUCGGCUGCAACCUACAAAAGGCAAGAGACAACUUCCUCUCUUGCCACACUCCAGGAUAGAAGAAGCACUCCAGUCAGCCACCAAUUUCCUCUCGCUAAGCAGCCCUGUUCUCCCAUGCCCACUACAUGCAGAGGGUGACCCAGGCACACCCAGAGUGAGUGCUCUUGCGUCCUGUCAGACAGGGCCGGCCAGCAUGAGAGCUCUUUGCUCAAGCGCCAUCUCCAUAUCCUUUGUGUCCCUACCUAAGUGCCUACAUUUGCCCAUGACACUUAUCUCCCUAGACCUCAGUCUCCACAGUUCUGAACUGGGAGUUAGAAGCACUCAUCUUACUUCCUCAUAGGGUUGUCAGUGCUAUGAGGAUGGAGUGAGAUCACACUUGAGAAAACACUUCAAAAAUUUACAUGUCCCACAGGGCACUAAGAGACCAUGGCUCAUCAAGCACCUGGUCAGGACUGAUGGCAAUGGUGUAUGGCUGGCCUUUCCCAGCCUCCCUCCGGUUAGAUGGAUUGGAAGAUCAAGUUCUGGCCAGCAGAAUGUGACCAGAGUAUCUACUCCGUAAAGCCUUCCCACACACGAUCCUGUUCUCUCUUUUUCUCCUCUGCCAGCUGAAGACGUAGAGGAGGAUUCUGGGUAGCUAGAAAGGACAGAGCCAUAGACACACCCUUUGAUUGUGUUACAUGGCUGGAGUUGGCGGUUGCUUGCUACAGCAGCUAGGCCACCUGGACUAGCAAAAUGUCCCAGUGGAAUAGCUGCCUAGAAAAUCCCACAAUGAGGCUGUAAAUUCAAGUGAGUAGAGAAAAAGGUUUUAGUGGCCAGACACGGUGGCUCACACAGGUUAGUUUAUCCAAUCACAGUAUCAAAUGCCUUCCUAAUGUGGACAGGCCAUGGUAGGCCACAUAAGAGACUAAUAAACCACCAGAAAAAAGUGGGGGACAAAAGACCUGAAAGACAAUUCACAAACAUAAAACAAAUAGCCCCUGAACAUGUAAUGUUCACCCUUACUCAUACAAAAUAAAUCA